CCUACGGGGGGCUGCAGUGGGGAAUAUUGGACAAUGGGGGCAACCCUGAUCCAGCCAUGCCGCGUGUGUGAAGAAGGCCUCGGGUUGUAAAGCACUUUCAGUGAGGAAGAACGCCUGGUGGUUAAUACCCAUCAGGAAAGACAUCACUCACAGAAGAAGCACCGGCUAACUCCGUGCCAGCAGCCGCGGUAAUACGGAGGGUGCGAGCGUUAAUCGGAAUUACUGGGCGUAAAGCGCGCGUAGGUGGCUUGAUAAGCCGGUUGUGAAAGCCCCGGGCUCAACCUGGGAACGGCAUCCGGAACUGUCAAGCUAGAGUGCAGGAGAGGAAGGUAGAAUUCCCGGUGUAGCGGUGAAAUGCGUAGAGAUCGGGAGGAAUACCAGUGGCGAAGGCGGCCUUCUGGACUGACACUGACGCUGAGGUGCGAAAGCGUGGGUAGCAAACAGGAUUAGAUACCCUGGUAGUC
rnacentral:rRNA from 1 species